rnacentral:rRNA from 1 species
GAUGAACGCUAGCGGCAGGCCUAAUACAUGCAAGUCGAACGGUGUCUUCGGACAUAGUGGCGCACGGGUGCGUAACACGUAUGCAGCCUACCUUACAUUGGGGGAUAGCCUUUCGAAAGGGAGAUUAAUACCGCAUAAGACAGUAGCUGGGCAUCCAGCAGCUGUUAAAGAUUUAUCGAUGUAUGCUGGGCAUGCGUCCAAUUAGCUAGUUGGUGAGGUAACGGCUCACCAAGGCAAUGAUUGGUAGGGGAACUGAGAGGUCAAUCCCCCACACUGGCACUGAGAUACGGGCCGGACUCCUACGGGAGGCAGCAGUAGGGAAUAUUGGGCAAUGGACGCAAGUCUGGCCCAGCCAUGCCGCGUGCAGGAUGAAGGCGUUAUGCGUUGUAAACUGCUUUUAUACAGGAAGAAACGACUCUUGCGAGAGGCAUUGACGGUACUGUAUGAAUAAGCACCGGCUAACUCCGUGCCAGCAGCCGCGGUAAAAC